rnacentral:rRNA from 1 species
AACGAACGCUGGCGGCAUGCCUAACACAUGCAAGUCGAACGAGACCUUCGGGUCUAGUGGCGCACGGGUGCGUAACGCGUGGGAAUCUGCCCUUGGGUUCGGAAUAACAGUUUGAAACGACUGCUAAUACCGGAUGAUGACGUAAGUCCAAAGAUUUAUCGCCCAAGGAUGAGCCUGCGUAGGAUUAGCUAGUUGGUGAGGUAAAGGCUCACCAAGGCGACGAUCCUUAGCUGGUCUGAGAGGAUGAUCAGCCACACUGGGACUGAGACACGGCCCAGACUCCUACGGGAGGCAGCAGAGGGGAAUAUUGGACAAUGGGCGAAAGCCUGAUCCAGCAAGGCCGCGUGAGUGAUGAAGGCAUUAGGGUUGUAAAGCACUUUUACCCGGGAUGAUAAUGACAGUAACGGGAGAAUAAGCUCCGGCUAACUCCGUG